UCCAGGUCCAUGAAGCCCUCGAGUGUGACCCCUAACCCCAGAGCGAAGUGUAGUGGGGAGGUGGUCUCCGAACCCAAGCUUCCACGUGCCCGAAACGAGGGUGGUAGUGUCAGGAUGCCAUCCUGCCUUGGAGUCAGCAGAUUAUGGACUGCAACCUCUACAAACUGUGAGCUAAAUAAACCUUUCCUCUUUUAACUUUGGAUGUUGGGUAUUUUGUCUCAGCAACAAGAAAAGUAAAUAAGACAGAAUUUGGUACCAGGAUUGGGGUCAUUGCUGUGACUAUACCUAACCUGUGGUUCAGGAGCCUUUGGGUUUGGCUUGUGGGAAGAGUUUGGAAAUGGUCUGAGAUGUGGCUGAAAAAAAAUAGAGCUGG
rnacentral:lncRNA from 1 species